CCCAACUGGUACCUGUCGUGCUUUUCCACAGCCCUCUCCUGAUUUCUGCAUCUCACAUAUGGGAUCAAAAAAGGUUCAUCUAGAGGAUUUACAGGAACGCGUUACUGAUGUGUGUGAUUGCUCCACUCUCUGGUCAAGAUCUGCAGGUUUUUCUUCACCUGAGGCCUGAUCCAGCUUCCACUGGAGAAGAUGACAGGAGUAUUUACUCUGAGACAUUUUUGCUGGCUGCUUGUGUUAGAGUUAAGAGUCAAAGACCAGUUCCUCUUACUGGAUCUACAGUGGAAAACGACAAUUGGUUUUCUUUGAACCUUUAAAGAACGAACCUCCCUUGAUUUUCAGUGAGAAGAAACUAAGCAAAUCAUUCUGAUGUUUCUGAACAUGCUUCAGAUGUUACACAAUGGAAUUCACAAAGCAGAGCAAGUGCUUACUCAGAGUAGCCCAGUGAGUAAGUUAUCUAUGGAGGAGACUUGGAUUAAAGGUAAGAUUUCAACACAGGUAUCCUGUCUAAGAGAAGACUGACUUAACUUCCAGGCUCCUGGGGCGUGGGCUUAUAUGGAUCUCGGGAAAAGUUCUUUCUUUGGCCUUUUGAAGAAUGGUAUAAAAAUCUCCCAAGUAUUUAGCCCUUCACAUGACUUCUGUUCUUUUGUUAAUUUUUUUCUUAAAUUCAAAUGAUUCAUUUCAGGUAGAAAGACAGAUUUUGUUCAAGCCAAAGUUUUCUUAGUCAGCUGAUAUCACUGAGAUAUUUUCGUUGUUCUACAAGGUUCUUCUUGAAAUUUUCCACAUGCAAAUUCCUAACAAAAGUUCAUUUUGGCUGUCCAUGUGGACUGUUGGUAGGCAAGUAAAUGUGCUGAAUGGCCCUAGAAAUGGACAGAAUACUUAUUUACACUCCUACAGGUAGUACAGAUUAGAUUACAUUUAGGAUCUGAGUUCGGGUCCCAAAGCCAUUCCACUGGGAAGUCAUUCCCACUUGUCCUGUCGCUAAAAUUCCUGAUGAAGAGCCCCUCUCUGGCUUCCUUGUAGGUCCCUUCAGACACAGGAAGGCUGCUAUGAGGUCUCCAUGCACCAGUCUUCUCUUCUCCAUGCUGAACAGCUCCAAUACUCCAGAAAACUGUUUUUCCUGAGCUGCUGAGAAGCUACGCACCAGUUCUGCUGUCGUGCUCUGCUAUUCUUUGUGCCCUUCAAGAUGUUGGGUCACACCUUUGAUGCUUUGAGCUCUGGCUAGAAGUAAUUAAAAAGAGGGUGAGGAGCAUAUGGCUCUCAUACCAACCCUUGAGUGCGCUUGGAAAACACUCUGCUACGUGCAGUUUGGAAAAGCACUGGACAUCAAGGUGCAAAUCUGUCUGACAAAGAGACGAGCUGACCUGCCAAGGCCUGCAGGAGGCCCAUGGUGUGCCAGCAUUGGACUGGAAUGAGCCAAAGUAAGCAAUGGCCAGAGAAGCUUCUGGGUUUGGACCUGCUGAUUCCUGCAGCAGAACACUUCCUUGAGUAGUACCAAAUUGUUUUGCUGUAACGUAGCGUCUUGUGGUUGGAUUCUUUGGUUUCCUAAAAAGUCAAACCGCAACCGAAACUCCUGCAGCAGUUGGGAUGUUCUUAAAUUCUUACGCUGCAGGGAUUGUCUGCUACCAGUGUCUCCAGGAUUCGCUCUCUUGGCUGGACUUGUCUCAGUGAGAGCACUAACACAGCACUCCCACCUUUUCUCUCUGCCCUUCUGUUUCCAUGACCUUUAAAAAAGUCGAACACCUUAAGAUCCUCUCUCAACAAUGACCAAGUUAAAAGUUUAUUAGGAGGAACUGAGGAACAGACACAAAGAAUUUAUCACCAAAUAAGCCUCACAUAUUACAGAAAUUGCUGGAAACUGGGUGAGAAGAGCUAAGACAUGGAGAUCACUUCUGGGUUUUACCCCUUUACCAUUGUACCCUCUGGGUCUCUGUUGCACAGAGCUGUUAUUUCACUCUCUCUACUGCAGCCUCAAUUCCUCCUGGUGUCUACUCUACCAGUAGUCCUGAGCAACAUCAGGAAACAUUCCUCUCUGCCAUCUCUGCAGAACAGCUUCCAGAGGAAAGGACAGGAGCUGCAAAACCUAGGACCCUGCUCCCCUGCUGUUAGGCAGCUUCUCUUACUCCAGAGAAGCUCCUGAAAACUUUAACUCAGCAAAGGAGGACAGGCUUUGAAAGCAGAAAAUUGAGCAAAUUAGCAGGCAACAACUGAAGUUUCCACCUCUACUCCAAUUCUUACACUGGUUUAUAGUCACUUAGAGCCCUGCAAAGUCGAGAUGGUGUUGAGGAGUACAGAAGAAAUUGGUGUUAGGAUCUUAGCUACUUGGAAUUUUUCUGGUUCUGAGAGAACAGCAGUCUGAUAUCCCCUCAAACAUCAUUUGUGAUGCACCACUUCUGUAGUGUUCAGGAAUAGUGCAUGUCUUUGAUUUGAGUACAAAUUGGCUCUGGGGCAUAAAUAAAGAUUGAGAAGCCAAAGUUUGUGUCAAGAUCUCAGUUUUGAACUCAGUAUCCUUGGAACUGAAUCUGUGCUUUGAUUUAUCACUUUUGUUUCAGCUUGAAUUAUGUUAUAACCAGAACCUGCACGAAUUCCUUCUCAGGUAUUUCUGUUCUUUAUCAUUAUCUUGAUUUGUUUCUAUAGGAUAUUUAAGACAAAGCCCUUCAUGAAAGGAUGAGAAAUCCUCUAUUCACAUUCAGGAGAAAUGUCUGCCACAAUGCUGACUUUUCUGAGUAGACUGCAGGAUUCUGUCAGCCUGCCUAAGCUCAGAAAAAAAGUUUACUUCACUGAACAGUCUUUUUUUAGUGUAAAGAAGAGUGGAACAUUCUUUCAAAAUGAAGAAAAUUUUAAAAAUCCCACCAAAUCAAAGUGCAGUCACAUACUCUACUGAUGAAGAGAGUGUAGGAACCUAUAUUGACUACAAUUGUAUGUAGAGAAAGAAACAACAUUUAACAUAGAACAAACAAACAAAGUAAGUGACAUUUCUUAAAGCUAAAUUUAUGAAUUGCAAAGAGUCAAAAAUGCUUUAAAUCACUGGAACUUGUUUCAGGUACAAAGAAACUAAUUGGGAUUUGAAGUACUAUUUAUUAUGGAGAAGAGUGAUCCCAAAAGCUGAGAGAGUGUCAAAGUUAAAAGUCAUGAAUUUGCCAAGGAAAAACAUGAGUCAAUAUCAAAAAGUUUCCAACUUGACCAUCUGAAAAUAUUUUGGGUUCAAUUCAACAGAUCAAAACAGCUUGUUUGACUUGAACUUUAAAAGAAAUAUACAAAAAAAAUAGAUUUAGAAGUACAAGUUGUUUAAUUGUUUGAAGUGAACAGGUUUUCCUUCCACACAGUUUGAAUUUAAUUUAUUAGAGUUUUCUGAUUCAAAACCAUUUCAUGAAUUUGGGAAGACUGGGUUGUAUGGUGCAUUUAUUGCAAAGUGAGAAUCUCAUCUGGUUGCUGCAAGUCAAUGCAGUCAAUCCUUGACCUGAAGGAUAAUGCCAUUACAGCGGAAUCAUAAGAUCUUACAAUAUUGUCCAAAGGAUCUGAGGGACAAGUAUGUAAAAGCCUUGGAAGUCUAUUUUGUCUGACAAUACAGGCAUCUGAAUUUUGCCUAGAAGGUUAUAUUUCCUGCAGUUUAACGUCACUGACUAGUGGUUUGCAUCUCUGGGAGGAUCUGGCCCUUAAAUGAAAAUAUUCCAAUGCUUUGUGAAAUUAUAUCAUUCAGUGAAAAAAACCCAACAAAUCUUGAUUGUCAGCAUGUGUCACGCAGGAGCUGUUUUUUGGUUUGGUGCCAGUGCACUUUUUCACCAGUUCUGAGAUUGGCAAAUGUAUUACUUCAUGAUAAAUUAAAAAAAAUAAAAUAAAAAUCUCCUCUCCUCCCUCCUA